AGUUUGAUCAUGGCUCAGAUUGAACGCUGGCGGCAGGCCUAACACAUGCAAGUCGAGCGGUAGCACAGAAGAGCUUGCUCUUUGGGUGACGAGCGGCGGACGGGUGAGUAAUGUCUGGGAAACUGCCUGAUGGAGGGGGAUAACUACUGGAAACGGUAGCUAAUACCGCAUAACCUCGCAAGAGCAAAGAGGGGGACCUUCGGGCCUCUCGCCAUCAGAUGUGCCCAGAUGGGAUUAGCUAGUAGGUGAGGUAAUGGCUCACCUAGGCGACGAUCCCUAGCUGGUCUGAGAGGAUGACCAGCCACACUGGAACUGAGACACGGUCCAGACUCCUACGGGAGGCAGCAGUGGGGAAUAUUGCACAAUGGGCGCAAGCCUGAUGCAGCCAUGCCGCGUGUGUGAAGAAGGCCUUCGGGUUGUAAAGCACUUUCAGCGAGGAGGAAGGCGGUAAGGUUAAUAACCUUAUCGAUUGACGUUACUCGCAGAAGAAGCACCGGCUAACUCCGUGCCAGCAGCCGCGGUAAUACGGAGGGUGCAAGCGUUAAUCGGAAUGACUGGGCGUAAAGCGCACGCAGGCGGUCUGUUAAGUUGGAUGUGAAAUCCCCGGGCUUAACCUGGGAACUGCAUUCAAAACUGACAGGCUAGAGUCUUGUAGAGGGGGGUAGAAUUCCAGGUGUAGCGGUGAAAUGCGUAGAGAUCUGGAGGAAUACCGGUGGCGAAGGCGGCCCCCUGGACAAAGACUGACGCUCAGGUGCGAAAGCGUGGGGAGCAAACAGGAUUAGAUACCCUGGUAGUCCACGCUGUAAACGAUGUCGAUUUGGAGGUUGUGCCCUUGAGGCGUGGCUUCCGGAGCUAACGCGUUAAAUCGACCGCCUGGGGAGUACGGCCGCAAGGUUAAAACUCAAAUGAAUUGACGGGGGCCCGCACAAGCGGUGGAGCAUGUGGUUUAAUUCGAUGCAACGCGAAGAACCUUACCUACUCUUGACAUCCAGAGAAUUAGCUAGAGAUAGCUGAGUGCCUUCGGGAACUCUGAGACAGGUGCUGCAUGGCUGUCGUCAGCUCGUGUUGUGAAAUGUUGGGUUAAGUCCCGCAACGAGCGCAACCCUUAUCCUUUGUUGCCAGCGAUUCGGUCGGGAACUCAAAGGAGACUGCCGGUGAUAAACCGGAGGAAGGUGGGGAUGACGUCAAGUCAUCAUGGCCCUUACGAGUAGGGCUACACACGUGCUACAAUGGCGUAUACAAAGAGAAGCGACCUCGCGAGAGCAAGCGGACCUCAUAAAGUACGUCGUAGUCCGGAUUGGAGUCUGCAACUCGACUCCAUGAAGUCGGAAUCGCUAGUAAUCGUAGAUCAGAAUGCUACGGUGAAUACGUUCCCGGGCCUUGUACACACCGCCCGUCACACCAUGGGAGUGGGUUGCAAAAGAAGUAGGUAGCUUAACCUUCGGGAGGGCGCUUACCACUUUGUGAUUCAUGACUGGGGUGAAGUCGUAACAAGGUAACCGUAGGGGAACCUGCGGUUGGAUCACCUCCUUA
rnacentral:rRNA from 1 species